AUGACAAAAACAGUGACCUACUAUGACAAACACGUAUCAUCACGGAAGUGUAUUUUUUGUAGUGCAUGGAUCCCUAGGGGGGACACGCGGCGACCGUCGGCCCCUAGAGGCCAGAGCCUGCUCACUAGGGUCUACGAGCUCAUCGACCCGGACACGGGUACCUGGGAUCGGGGCUUAGUUGAGGGAUGUUUUCAUGCUGAAGACAUGCCGUCCAUUCUAAGCAUCCCGAUCUGUGAGCAGGCUGAAGAUUUCGUGGCUUGGCACUAUGAUAGUAAGGGGAUUUUUUCGGUCAAAUCAGCAUAUAAGGUGCAUCUGGCUGUGCUAAAAUGGGAGAGCAUUAGACAAAAGGGACAGACUUCCUUGGGGGAGGUGAUCCAUGCCGACACCUUCAAGCUCAUAUGGGAGCAGAAGUGCCCUCCAAAAGUUCAUCACUUCCUUUGGCGACUGGCGCACAACAGCCAUCCAAUGUACAUGAACAUUGCCAGAAGAGGAGUUGAGCUGGACACACGGUGUGCGGUGUGCGGCCGUCUAUUCGAAGAUGGAGGGCAUUUGUUCUUGAACUGCAAAUGGGUUAAACAACGAUGGCGUAUCCUGCAGUUGGAAGAUGUCAGGCUACGACUAGCUCAGCUCCGGACAGCAAGGGAAGUGGUACAUACCAUCCUGCAUCUUCCUCAAGAUCAAAGGCUACUGGCGAUUGCACUUUUGUGGUCUUGGUGGUCGAAAAGGAAUCGGGGGAAUCAUGGGGAGAGGCGGCUGACCGCAGACGAAUUCCAUUUCCAUGUCCGUUUCCAUGUGACGGAAUGGAAUCGAUACCUUAGGCCGGUUCAGCCAAGCCAAGCGGCUUCCCCCCGAUUGUGGCAGCCACCAUCUCCAGACCGGGUUAAGAUCAACUGCGAUGGUGCAUACACUGCUGAAACAGGGAGGGGAGGCUAG
rnacentral:rRNA from 1 species